GCCUACUGGAAUACCCGUCUGACGUUGCCUAAUCUCGUCAGAUCUCAGAAGUCAUGCAGACUUGGGCCUGCUUAGUACUUGUAUGGGAGACCAACUAAGAACCUCAGGUGCCGUAAGCU